GACGAACGCUGGCGGCGUGCUUAACACAUGCAAGUCGAACGGAAAGGCCCUGCUUUUGUGGGGUGCUCGAGUGGCGAACGGGUGAGUAACACGUGAGUAACCUGCCCUUGACUUUGGGAUAACUUCAGGAAACUGGAGCUAAUACCGGAUAGGAGCUCCUGCUGCAUGGUGGGGGUUGGAAAGUUUCGGCGGUUGGGGAUGGACUCGCGGCUUAUCAGCUUGUUGGUGGGGUAGUGGCUUACCAAGGCUUUGACGGGUAGCCGGCCUGAGAGGGCGACCGGCCACAUUGGGACUGAGAUACGGCCCAGACUCCUACGGGAGGCAGCAGUGGGGAAUAUUGCACAAUGGGCGGAAGCCUGAUGCAGCAACGCCGCGUGCGGGAUGACGGCCUUCGGGUUGUAAACCGCUUUCGCCUGUGACGAAGCGUGAGUGACGGUAAUGGGUAAAGAAGCACCGGCUAACUACGUG
rnacentral:rRNA from 1 species